CACGUAGGGUGCGAGCGUUGUCCGGAAUUAUUGGGCGUAAAGAGCUCGUAGGCGGUGUGUCGCGUCGGCCGUGAAAACCUGCAGCUUAACUGUGGGCUUGCGGUCGAUACGGGCAUCACUGGAGUUCGGCAGGGGAGACUGGAAUUCCUGGUGUAGCGGUGAAAUGCGCAGAUAUCAGGAGGAACACCGGUGGCGAAGGCGGGUCUCUGGGCCGGAUGACUGACGCUGAGGAGCGAAAGCGUGGGGAGCGAACAGG
rnacentral:rRNA from 1 species